rnacentral:rRNA from 1 species
UUUAUUGGAGAGUUUGAUCCUGGCUCAGGAUGAACGCUGGCGGCGUGCCUAAUACAUGCAAGUCGAGCGAAUGGAUUGAGAGCUUGCUCUCAAGAAGUUAGCGGCGGACGGGUGAGUAACACGUGGGUAACCUGCCCAUAAGACUGGGAUAACUCCGGGAAACCGGGGCUAAUACCGGAUAAUAUUUUGAACUGCAUGGUUCGAAAUUGAAAGGCGGCUUCGGCUGUCACUUAUGGAUGGACCCGCGUCGCAUUAGCUAG